AUUAAAAUAAAACAUCUUUGAUUCCAAUUUUAAUUAAAGAUUCUGCGCAGAUUUUCCUCCUCCGUGAAAAGACAUUCCUCCUUCGUGAUCAGCAAAUAAAAUAUUAAACACAUUCAAUUUAAUUCAAAAAAAAAGAAAAAUUCGAAAUCUUCCCUCAAUCCACGAUGAAAAACCGUUUCCUCCCUCAUCCGUAAACUCUCCCAAAUCACACGCCUCUUUCCCUAAUCUCCUCCUUUCCUACCGCCACUCCUCCAUAAAAUUUCAUUCACAAUCAAGUCCCACCCCACAAGUUUCUCCCCCAAAAUCACCAAGAAGUUUCAAGAACAAAGGCCAAUUUUUCUCAACUCUCACUCAAUUGAGUGCAAGAUCAUGAAGUUUCUUGCAAGAACAAAGGAUGUCAUUCUUCAUAUCUCAAUCGAAACACAUUCAAGAAAACCGAGAACUAAAGCGAGGGGGGUCCGUGUUCCGUUCAGUUGCAAAUAUGCAAAUUGAAGGUGAUAUCUCGCAAGGGAAUCGUGAACGCAAAGGAAAGAAAAUAGUUUCGGAUUAAGCAAUCGAG